UGUGAGCAGGAGGAGGAGAGGCUGAGCUGGACAUGCAGGGCAGUCCAUGUUGGCUGCAAAGCAUGGUGAUGGUGGCCCCUGCCCCAAGGGCCUCUCACUGAGGCCAGCAGCUCAGCUGCUGCAGGUCCGAGUGGACCCUGUGGCACAUGGGGCCCUCCCCGCACUGCGGCAGACGGUGCUACAGCUAUUGAGAUGGGGGCUGAGAUGGGGCUGAGUGCUGGUGGGAACCAUGAGUGACUCCAAAUCUGGAAUUAAUUUGAUGAUGAGACUGGGGCUGCAGGAGCAGCCGAUUCCCAGUCUUCCCCUGCAGGAAAGACCGGGAGGCUGUCCCCGUGGUCUCACCGGCCCUGUGCAUGGUGACCUGGGCCUCCAGGGGAGUGGCCGGGUGCCCUGUUGGAUGUCCUGUAGCGAAUUUGUCUCUGGGAGAAGAGCAGAGAGAUGAAGGCCUCCAUGCCACAGCCCAGGCCGUGCACAUUUGUGUUGACCUUGGCCACAGGCCGACGGCGCGUCUGCGAGGUCUCUGCAUUGCAAGGCCCUUCUCCUCCUGAACUGAAGGCCUUCUUCCUCCUUUCCCCUCCUGAUUCUCUCGCCCUCCUGGUGCAUCCAGGUGCC
rnacentral:lncRNA from 1 species